AAAGGGAGACCUAAUUCCAGUAGGAGACGAAAAAAAAGUAGUCCCUACCAAGAAUCAAUCCCAAAAGGUCGGAGCGAGGCAAAAUUGGCUUUCAAACUAGGUUCUGGGUUCACACAAGACCUGAAUCAGGAACAAGGGCUAUUAGCUCAGGUGGUUAGAGCGCACCCCUGAUAAGGGUGAGGUCCCUGGUUCGAGUCCAGGAUGGCCCACCUGCACAGGUGGAAGAAAGAAAAGAAGCUCCGAAUCAGCACCUUAUCUUACUUAUAUAGUAAGAGAGAAUGCUGGCUCUGAGUACAGAGUCCAGAGGAACCCUGAAAACUGCAUAGAGCUAGGUGAAAAAGCCAAAAAAGAAGACCGCAAG
rnacentral:tRNA from 1 species